ensembl:lncRNA
AUCCUCGUCUUCAGGAACGAGCUUUCUGUCUGUCUCUUCAGUGCUGUUCUUGAACUCUUCCUCUGCCGUUGCCACAGAUUCUUUUAUUUCUGUGCUAGGUUUUAAAUCUGUAGAACUGAACUGAAAACUCAUUUUGAAUGACUUUGAAAAUUUCCUAAUUGAAUUUAAAAUGAAAAUGAACUGAUCUGAUGCACGAGCUGUGGUUAGUUUCACUUUCGUCUACGUCACGAGCUUGAACAAUAAUGCACUACCCUGCAGUCACUGCCCAGCAGUUCUGAGGAGGAAAGGAGAGCUUUGGGACAAAACUAUCACUCAUACAAUUUAUAUUAGGAAUACAUAAAAAAGAGUGCACGAGCUUGCAAAACUCAAAUAUACUCUAAAAAAUCCUGGGUUAUCAUGAAAAUGCGUAUAAAUAGUAGCCUACGCCGAAUAAAAAUAAAACUCGUGGUACUGAUAAGAAAAAAAUGGUUUUUGGUGUGUAUGCUGUGAGGAGCAUUCUGCGGGCACAGUUUUCAAGAGGAAUACUUCAGCUGCAAAAGAAAUUGUAUGAACAUUCAUCGAACAUAUAAGGUGCGAAUUCUGGGUCUGGUCCUAAUCCUAAUGCUUAAGAUUUAACAAUUACAAUAUAUUUAUACAAAUAUUCCUAUAUUUCAAGGCCGCAGUUUGGAAAAACCUUCAGGU